GACGAACGCUGGCGGCGUGCCUAAUACAUGCAAGUAGAACGCACAGUUUAUACCGUAGCUUGCUACACCAUAAACUGUGAGUUGCGAACGGGUGAGUAACGCGUAGGUAACCUGCCUGGUAGCGGGGGAUAACUAUUGGAAACGAUAGCUAAUACCGCAUAAUAUUGAUUAUUGCAUGAUAAUUGAUUGAAAGAUGCUAUUGCAUCACUACCAGAUGGACCUGCGUUGUAUUAGCUAGUAGGUGAGGUAACGGCUCACCUAGGCGACGAUACAUAGCCGACCUGAGAGGGUGAUCGGCCACACUGGGACUGAGACACGGCCCAGACUCCUACGGGAGGCAGCAGUAGGGAAUCUUCGGCAAUGGACGAAAGUCUGACCGAGCAACGCCGCGUGAGUGAAGAAGGUUUUCGGAUCGUAAAGCUCUGUUGUAAGAGAAGAACGGGUGUGGGAGUGGAAAGUUCACACUGUGACGGUAUCUUACCAGAAAGGGACGGCUAACUACGUG
rnacentral:rRNA from 1 species